GGCGGGAGCGUGGGGUCCUCAGCCCGGAUUGCGAGAGGGUGCAGGCCAGGCUGAGGGACCCCACUGGUGCAUG
rnacentral:pre_miRNA from 1 species